rnacentral:ncRNA from 2 species
UGACGUUCUCAGGGCGGGGUGAAACUCCCCACCGGCGGUGAUGGCGCUUCCUUUCGGGGCGCACGAGCCCGCGAGCGCCCGGCCUUUCGCGAGGUCGGGGUCAGCAGAUUCGGUGUGAUUCCGAAGCCGACGGUUAGAGUCCGGAUGAAAGAGAACGGCG